AGUCACUGACAUUAGAUACCCGUGUAGUCCAGGGUGUAAACGCUGCAGACUUGGUGUUGGAGGCCCUUUGGGGGCAUUCAGUGCCGGAGAGAAGUUGUUAAGUCUGCUACUUGGGGAGUACGUCCGCAAGGAUGAAACUUAAAGGAAUUGGCGGGGGAGCACCGCAACGGGAGGAGCGUGCGGUUUAAUUGGAUCCAACACCGUAAAACUCACCAGGGAAGACUGUUACAUGAAGGCCGAGAUGAAGACUCUGCUAGAUUUUCAG
rnacentral:rRNA from 1 species